rnacentral:rRNA from 1 species
UACGUAGGGGGCGAGCGUUAUUCGGAAUCAUUGGGCGUAAAGGGCGCGUAGGCGGCCUGAUAAGUCAAAGGUGAAAUCCCUCGGCUCAACUGAGGAACUGCCUUUGAAACUGCCAGGCUUGAGGCCGGGAGGGGGUGGCGGAAUUCCCAGUGUAGCGGUGAAAUGCGUAGAUAUUGGGAGGAACACCAGUGGCGAAGGCGGCCACCUGGACCGGUUCUGACGCUGAUGCGCGAAAGCGUGGGGAGCAAACAGG